GGGAAUUGUUAGCUUGUAGUCGCUGGAGGUGCGCACCUGGUGCUUGGCGGCGACCUGGCCCUUUGGCUUGUGCUUGCGCGAAGGGUACGGUUUGCGGCCGCUCGACACCGACGCCUCGGAGGACGUGGUGGAGUCGCCUCCGAAUCGGUGCCCAUUGCAGGUUGUUCUUUGCUCUGCACCUUGUGUACCUCCUGAUUCUUCCAAUCAGGGUCAACCCUCGUCAGGUCAGCGACCUCCUCGCGCAAAUAAAUAUUUUUUUCAGGGCCAAUUUUUUAUUUUCUUUCCAAAUUGCCUUGUAAAUCCGGUUUUUUGAUUACUUAGAAAGUUUAAAAUUUGUUUUGCUGGAUAAAAACACCCUGAGAUUAAACCCAAAAGAUUUCAGAUCUGUCACCUACGUUGUUAAGAAAAAUUUAAUUCAGUAUAAAUUUGUGAAAAAUAAUUUUUUUUCACCUCCACAUGAAAAAAACCAGCGUUACUAAAUUUUGAACCCUUUCAAAUGAGGCCCGUAGAUAAUCAGGGGUCUAAAAUGUCGUAGAAAGGUUAAAAUGCACCCUGAUAUCAGGUUAAUAUUAUUUCAAACCAACAUUUAAAAAUUGUUUAAUUCUUCCUUAUUUAAAUAAAAAUUUUCUCACCUGAAGACGGCCGCCUUUCCGACAUCAACGACCUGGUCCUGAGGCUGGUCAAUGGCCAACAACGUCCAGGGGAAAAUCGCCAAAUUGAGGGUGCAACAAAUUAAGCUGAGCGACGACCGCAGCUGAAAAGUUCCCGCGUGUAAUUGGCCAAUUUUUAGCAGUGAAUAAUUUUUAUUAGAACUGGAAAUUUGGCAAAAUUCGGCUGCGGAAACAGUUCACACACGACUCUUGGGUCUUGCCACCUGCCAACAAAUUCUCUAUCCAUCUAUUUUUUUCUCAGGGCAUUUAAUUUUCCUUAAAAUAAUUUCUUUUUUACCUUUCAGUUGGUACCCUGACGACCGCGAGCAAUUGCUGCCGCGGUGAUCAGCGGUUCUCCCUGGUGGCGCCAGGUCUUUUAAGAAUCUCAAAGGUUCGUCUGGAGGAUCGCGGAAAAUAUUUGUGCUGGCUGAAAAAUUCGGCUGGCGAGGAGACGUUAAAAUUGCAGGUGGCGCUGAGUACAGGGUCGACCCACGUGUCCAGCCUCAGCACCAGGUUAUCGACGUCGGAGAGGCGGCCGUGUUCAGGACGUUCAGACACGUGGUUAGCUGUUGCGUGAGGAGCUCGCUGACCUGUCGAGGGUUGACCCUGACCGGCAGAAGCAGGAAGCAGCCUUUGGGCCCUCCGAUCCGGCUCGACACGUCCUCAGCAGACAGACCUCCGGUCCGGCGGCCGCCUCGGCGAGACAUUCGCGUUUUUGCUUCGCUUCUUUUGAAUUAUGUCGAAAAAACCGUGAGCGGAUGUUGAACAAAUCGCGAAAAGUUUCACUGGAAUCGAUCUCAGGGUGCGGUAACCUGUCAAAGGUCGUCAGUAUAUCAAUUUUUUUGGCUAUUUCUUAAAUUUAUUUUUAAAAUUGGUGUUUUUAGAUUUGAGAUCUCUUUGAUUACACACGUAAUUAAAUUUUAGAUAAUUUUCCAGCUAAAAACGCACAUUUGUCAUGUUUCAAGGAAGGAAAUCACAAAUUACAGCUAAAAAUCCGGUUGUUAAAUUGAUCAAUACAAAUAAAUACGUGUGUAUUAAAGAAUUUAGAUAAAGGCUUCAUUAAUUACCAUCGACUCUUUCAAUGGGAACAUAGCAUGAUUUUUAAUUAAUAAAAAAAUAAACACUUCAAAGUUAGAGGUAACUGAAUUUAAUUUUCCUCUUUGAGUCUUUUUCAAAAUAAAACUGCCAAUUUCUAAGAUUUGAGGCAAUUUAAAAUUAAAUAGGUCAAAUUUAAGUUUUUAAAAUAAAUCUUGAUUAUAAAAAAUGAAUAGAAUGCCAAAUCUCAGGCGAAUGUGUAGGUUGCGGCUGCACCUUUGCCGCGGAAGAGAAAGACUAAUUCGCUUUAUUCGCCAACUGAUGUGCCGAAACGAUUCCUC